rnacentral:lncRNA from 1 species
CACAAACAGUUAUUUCACCAAAGAAGAACUAUUAAUGGAAAAUAAAGACACGAAAAUAUACUCGACAACAGUUAUUAGGGAAAUGCAAAAUAAAACCACAACAAGAUACCACUUGUCAACAAAUAAUAGACUAAUGCUACUAUUUGUCAACAAAUAGUAGACGAAUACUCUAAUGCUAUGUCAUAAUGCCUAAGAUAUUCACCUCACUUUUUCUUGUCACAUAGGAAUUCUGUCAUCUUACAUGAUCACAUGAAGGAAAAGAAGGGUGAGUACAGUAUAAUACAAUAUUUUAAGGUGGAAAAGGAGAGAUAUAUAGAGACCAUAUUAACAUAACUUUUAUUAUAGUAUAUUGUUCUAUUUUUAUUAUUAGUUAUUGUUAUUAAUCUCUUACUGUGCCUAAUUUAUAAAUUACUUUUUGUCAUAGAUGUGUAUUUAUAGGAAAACACAUAGUGUAUAUAGGGUUUGGUACUGUCCAUGGUUUUAGGCAUCCGCUGGUGGUCUUGGAAUGCAUCUCCAUGGAUACAGGGGGACUACUGUACACAAAUGUUUAUAGCAGCUUUAUGCAUAGUUUCCAGAACUCCUUUCUGCUCCUUCCCCAUAAGUAAAGGGAUUUAUUCUUUUAUCCAUCCCGGCCUCCCAGCUACAAUGGCUUUUUACCUUAAGGCAGGCUCUGAGCCAUUGUUUCUGCCAUCAUCAGUUAUUUAACCACAAUCAUUCUAGAGACCACAGUGUCAGCAAGC